ACAACUUCUCUCCAGUGCAAGCAAUUUGUCCGAGGCACCAGCGCAGUCAGAGAUAAACAGGAUGAUCAGGAUAAAGGAUGAAAGACCAGAAUUAAGAAGAAGAAGAAGAAGAAGAAAAAAAAGUGAUAUUAUGGGUCUGAAAUAAAGAAACUGUUGAUAGGAAAAAAUCAGAGACAGCUGGAUGUGCACACACUCUUUCCCAUCCACCUAAAUACUCCAGACCUGCUUCCCAACUCCUUUCCCGGAGAGGACUUCACUGAAAAUGUCCUUGUGGUUUGCCGUUUUAAGCCACAGGCCCAGGAGCUCCUGAAGCAUGCUGUGAGCAAACAGCCCAAUGCUGCAGGCAUCCCUGGAGCCUUGUUUGUACCUCAGCCUGGACGGGGGGUUCCUGAUCAUUCCAACAGAGUGUGAAAAUCCACUUUUGCUUGGUUACUCCCGAGGUGCGAGAGGGAAGAAGUCAACGUAAAAUGACGCAUAGGAGAGGCGCUGGGAUGGAGCGCUGCGAGGGAACUCUUUUCCUCUUGCACUGGAAAAACGUCUCUUUCAAGUCCUUUGGUAUUAUUAAUGAACUAUGAAACCCUUGUAAAGAACUUGGGUCCACGUGUUGCUGUUACUGCUGCUUGGUGGGGCAGCAUAGAGCUAUGUUUGCUGAGGGGUUAACAAAAGAUCUCUGACAUGUAUAUGCCAUUCCUCCCUUCCCAUCAAAUAGUGAGUUCAAUAUCUCUUCUCUGUAAUUCUCUCUGUUUAUAAUGCCUACCAUGUAUUAUCUCCUCAUAAUGUCUAUCUUUAUUAUUUCCUCUCUAUAACAAUAAAUAUAUUAGUUGGCAGGCUUCA
rnacentral:lncRNA from 1 species